rnacentral:rRNA from 1 species
CACGCUGUAAACGAUGAAUACUAGGUGUGGGGGGACUGACCCCCUCCGUGCCGGAGUUAACACAAUAAGUAUUCCACCUGGGGAGUACGGCCGCAAGGUUGAAACUCAAAGGAAUUGACGGGGGCCCGCACAAGCAGUGGAUUAUGUGGUUUAAUUCGAAGCAACGCGAAGAACCUUACCUGGACUUGACAUCCCCUGAAUGACUCGUAAUGGAGGAAGCCCUACGGGGCAGGGAGACAGGUGG